rnacentral:rRNA from 1 species
UACGGAGGGGGCUAGCGUUGUUCGGAAUUACUGGGCGUAAAGCGCACGUAGGCGGACUUUUAAGUCGGGGGUGAAAUCACAGGGCUAAACCCUGGAACUGCCUUCGAUACUGGAGGUCUGGAGGUCGAGAGAGGCGAGUGGAAUGCCGAGUGUAGAGGUGAAAUUCGUAGAUAUUCGGCGGAACACCAGUGGCGAAGGCGGCGCGCUGGCUCGAUACUGACGCUGAGGUGCGAAAGCGUGGGGAGCAAACAGG